GGGUUCGAUUAUGGCUCAGAACGUACGCUGGCGGCACGCCUAACACAUGCAAGUCGAACGAAGUAGCAAUACUUAGUGGCAGACGGGUGAGUAACAUGUAGGUAUCUACCCUUUGGCCUGGAAUAACACGAGGAAACUUGUGCUAAUACCGGAUAAGUCUUUACGGAGAAAGCUUUAUGCACCAUUGGAUGAGCCUGCACUUGAUUAGUUUGUUGGUGGGGUAAUGGCCUACCAAGACUUUGAUCAAUAGCUGAUUUGAGAGGAUGAUCAGCCACAUUGGGACUGAGACACGGCCCAAACUCCUACGGGAGGCAGCAGUGGGGAAUCUUGCACAAUGGAGGAAACUCUGAUGCAGCGAUGCCGCGUGAGUGAAGAAGGCCCUUGGGUUGUAAAGCUCUUUCGUCGGGGAAGAAAAUGACUGUACCCGAAUAAGAAGGUCCGGCUAACUUCGUGCCAGCCGCCGCGGUAAUAC
rnacentral:rRNA from 1 species